UGAGAGCCAAGAAAUGAGGUCUUUUAAGGCCAGUCUGAAUAUAAACUCUGCUGAAAACAGCGGGACGGCGAGGCCGGACCCCUCUUCCAACUUCGGCUGAGCCUCCGGGCGGCGGCGUGUCCAAUCACCCUCCCCGUCGUCCCCGGAUCAGAAGUUUCAACCCGUCCCCGGGAAACAAAGGAGGCGCCUGCACCGACCUUAUAGACUUGUCCAUAGGUGCCAUUUCCCACCACUUCCACCAGCUCGAAAAUCCCAGCCGGAUCCUAAGGAAGAGAGGAGGAUGGGCUACACCGAGGACCUGGUUAGGUUCGGGAUUCACGGAGCAUCAUUUGUUUUGGCUGCCCGGUCCGGAGACUUUCGCUGGAAACUGAAUCUCAAACAGCUCCUCUAAUUGCCUUGUGUUGAGUACCUCGCUCAGUAAAGGACCAGGAACUGAACCCUCUCCACAGAAGUAACCAGCGCCCCUUCAGUGAAAACACUGGAUCCUUAACCCACUGCACCACCAGGGAACUCCAGAAACCAUCUCUACAAGCUUUCUCUAAAUCUCUCUCCCAAGCUGCUGUUUCCCAUAUCACCAUUGUGAUGGUUAUUUCCCACUUUCA